rnacentral:misc_RNA from 1 species
GUGAAUCAUCAAAUUUUUGAACGCAAAUUGCACUCUCUUCUAAGAGUAUGCCUGUUUGAGUUUCAGCCUAAACAAAAUCUACAUAUUUGCUGUUACGCUGUAACAUUCGUCUGAAAUUGGGUCAUCUUAAACCUUUAGAUUUAAGCGUCUUAACAUUUUCUUUACGAUUCCAAGAACAUCUCUACGUUUUUAUUUUCAUAUACGUUUAAGUUAUCGAUCUUUAUUAUACCUUGCUCUUGCAUCUGAUCUCGUCCAUACAUAUUUCUUUAAC